CAGCCGCCGCGGGAACACGAAGGGUGCAAGCGUUACUCGGAAUUACUGGGCGUAAAGCGUGCGUAGGUGGUGGUUUAAGUCCGUUGUGAAAGCCCUGGGCUCAACCUGGGAAUUGCAGUGGAUACUGGGUCACUAGAGUGUGGUAGAGGAUAGUGGAAUUUCCGGUGUAGCAGUGAAAUGCGUAGAGAUCGGAAGGAACAUCUGUGGCGAAGGCGACUAUCUGGGCCAACACUGACACUGAGGCACGAAAGCGUGGGGAGCAAACAGGAUUAGAUACCCGGGUAGUCCCUGUCUCUUAUAC
rnacentral:rRNA from 1 species